UUUAUUUAUACCUAUAUAAAAGUUAACCCCUUUUGCUCCAAGGAGAGCGUUUUUGGUCAUGUUCACGUAGCUAUUUUAUCCAAUCAAACCGUGCCACGAUAGAGAUUUUUACUGUAGAUGGAGACCGGUAACUGUAGAUCAUUUAUCUCUGGGAUUUGUUUCUCCUUUUUUUCCGCGUGAGAAAUCCGUGAUGACCGGCUCCUUCCCGGUAUUCCCACUUUAUAGCUUCCGGUAAUCGCUCUCUCUCCUCCUUUUGUUCACCUUCAGUUACCGGUCAACCGGUUUAUUUCCCACGAUGGAUUGGUCAAAGCGGUGUUGCCAUCUCCAGAACAAUCCAGGUCCUCUUCCUUGCCAAUCCCCACCGCUGCUCUCUUCCUCCCCAAUUCUCAUCGCUCAAGUUCCAAAAAAAAAAUCCCAUCGCUGCCACUCGAGUGCUCCACCCGGUGGGGCGGCGUCCCAUCUCCCUCCAUGGCUGCCGUGUCUGUACCGACGUAUCAAGGUUGAACAUCCCCAGGACGAGCUCCUAUGUGCCUUGGCCCUGCUGUGUCUAGACAGCUGCAGCUCCCCACGACCUCGCCGGUUCGUCCGAUCUAUGCCUGCUCGGCAUGUAGCAACACAACCUUCUUCCCCCACUCCUCGGGCGCCAUCGCCGUCGACGCAUACUGUACCAAGAGUCACACAGGGUGCGCUGGGUUCAUCCCGCUCCUUCGAGCUGGGGAACACCCACAGGUUGAGGUGGCAUGGCUCCGCCAUCACCAUCGUCAGCCAGGUACACUUCAUCGGCCGUCGGUGCACUAUCAUCGGUUCAGAGGAGGAUAGGCGGAGCCUGGCAGGAUCAAGAUGCUUUCUGCGGUGGUGUAUCAUCUGUGCCAUCCUCUUCUGGAUUGUUUUCUUCAUUUGUUCCUUACUUUUCUCUACGGGUUUAUCAGUUUGUUGCUUUCUGCUCCCUAAAGAAGAUUUUACUUUGUGAUGUAGGCCAUUGGUGUUUCUCAGCGGCACCUAGCUAUUGUUAGUCCAGCGCCAUAGCGCUCUGCCAUCAAGCUGGGUAUCCGAUGAGUGCAGGUCAUCUUUACAGGCCAUCAGUGCUGAAGACACACCCUACUAUCCAAUAUUUGAUUACCCCUACAUGGAAGCAGAUGUGAAGCUAACCCAAUUUAAUAACUGUUUUUUCAAUAGGAAUCCAGAUCGUGGAAAAAUUAUAUCCUUUUCUUCCCAAGAUCACUGCAAUUCAGCUCCGUACAUGAUAGCCUGUAUUUUGUGUGCUAAUUAUGUUGUUCCAUUAUAGAUGCCUAAUUCUGCUACCUGACAAACACAGUCAAAGUAGCUCUUAUUUGAUCCACUCUCCUAGCAUCAGAGGAAAAGAUAAUCUUGCAACAUUACUAUAUAUCAAAUGCCAAUAUCAGUAACUGUGCAAAAAUAAAACAGAAAGCAGUAGACAGGAAGUUCUUUUAUAAGAUAUUACAGGGAAACACAAUGAAGGAAUAUGUCCCAACCAAGAGCUUUCACCAACAAAGAGAACAACUGAAGGAAAGAACAACUUAUACAUUUGGGGAUGUUCACUUUUUCUCACAUGUUCUCACUUCUCUGCUUUGCUUUGAAGACAAAUAUUGGUACUAGCAUUCUUUUUCCAAGUAUUUUUUGGUAAUUUUAUUGCGCAUUACGAGUCAUCCUUUUUGUUACUUUGUCGGACAUGCCUUAUGAUAUUAAUGUGAGCUUCUGUUAUGUCCACAUAGUUGCAGAUGACUUGCCAUUUGAUCAGUGUGUUGGAUACUUUAGUUCAUACUAAGGGAGCUUAUUGCGUGUUCAGCGACAGCCGACUGUACCUAAUCCUAUCAAGAAAAAGAUGUUGGAAGAAAACUUAGCUCUGUGGCGAUAGAUACAAUAGAGUCCUAGCCGUCGGUUCCCAAAUGUGGCAGCAAAUCCAAGACUGUGUUAUCUUCAAAGCUUUGAGAGAAGAAAAUACUCUGUUCAGAUUCUCAGAUUUUAGUUGUCGUACCGACCUAUUCAUGUGCUCAUGUUUUUUUUAUGUUAUUUAGAAAAAAUGAAUCCAUCUAAAUGCUACUGUGGUAAGUUCCUGAACAUUAUUCAGUCUCAAAAUUUCCAUUGAUAUAUCCAUUAUAGGGGCUAAUCAUCUGGAAUCUUUUGCACAAAUAAGACUAUGUUUAUGCAGCCUAUCCAACCUUCUAUCCACUACCGCCUGCAGUCAAGAUUCUCAGAUUUUAGUUGUCUGUACUAUACCGACCUAUCCAUGUGCUCAUGUUUUUUUAUGCUAUUUAGAAAAAAUGAAUCCAUCUAAAUGCUACUGUGGAACAAGACCAUGUUUAUGCAGCCUAUCCAACCUUCUAUCCACUACCGCCUGCAGAACAAGACCAUGUUUAUGCAGCCUAUCCAACCUUCUAUCCACUACCGCCUGCAGUUAUUCAGUACUAAAACUACUCACGGAAUGCCUCCAAUUUGUCACGGCAUGUCUACUUGGAGACACAAUGUGAUCAGUUCCUACUUGCAAGCACAAUGUGAUAAGUUUAGACAAUGCCUAGAAUGUGUUACAUGCAUUUCUUAUUAGUGAUGCACAUCAAGUCAAGGCAUAAUUGGAGUCCCAAAUUUUGCAUCUCACGUUGUUGUUAAAAAAUGUGACCAAUUAGUCUACUAAUUAAUACAAAACAUCUAUAGAUUGCCUGGUUUAAGUUCUGUCACUUUACUCAGCAUCUGUAUAAUGGCAUCUUUUCUUGCCUCUCCGGUAUUUUGUUUAUAUAUUGA